GGAGACAAUUUUUGUCCAUUUUUGACCUUAAUCUUGCAGUCGGUAAACAAUCAAUGCUUCGACAUUGUUUUAGGUCAAAUUUAAAGGCACGCAUGUAUGAAGAUAAGUUCAAAAUUGUUCCAUUCAACCAAAUCUAGUAAAAAAAUGAAAUAAAGGUUAACUGUAACAUCCCAUAUCGACCAAUGGAUAGGAGGUGAUAUGCCUUAUAUGUACAUGCCCACCUCCAUAUAGUAUGAGGUAUUUUGGGAACUCACUGGCUUCGGGUUCCAUUGAAACUCCGAAGUUAAGCUGUGAACACGAAAAAUUCCUGAAACGAAAGAGACAAGAACAACGUGCAUAAACAAAUAUUUGUAUUUAGAUGAUUUUGGGUUACAAUCUCUCUCUAUUUUGAUCCUCUGAUUCGACCUCCGUAAGGUGUGUAUUUAUGGAUGUGCGAUUGAUCCAAAGGGCCGUUGGGCUUGAUCUAAGGAUGAACGUUCUUUAAGGGCCGUGGGCUUGAUCUUUGAAAGUGGAUUUGAGCGGAUCUUCAAGGGCCGUUAAUGCUUGAUCUUGAAUAACGGUGAUGAACGGAUCUUCAAGGGCUUUUGGGCUUGAUCUUGAAGAAACCGUGAUGAACAGAUCUUCAAGGGCUUUUGGGCUUAAUCUUGAAGAACGGUUGGAUGUGUGUGGGUUUGUCGACGUUGUUGACCCAAA
rnacentral:lncRNA from 1 species